UCAUACUUGUCACUCUUGUAACUGAAUACCUGUUUGAAUGGUUAUCCUGCAACAUACUAACACAUGUAGUCUAUCAAGCAUAUGUGAUUGACAUUCUCGUUAUCAAGUAACAUGGUUGAGCUCAUGUAACUAUGAUACAUUGUCAUCGACAGUGUGAAUAUUACAUGAGUAACUACAACAUUUUUUUAUAAGGAUGGGCAACAGCAACCUUGAUACCCUGUUAAUGUUCAUCUCAUUCUUCCAAAAAAAACAUCUCAUUCCUCGCUGCUCUGCUCAUACCUUGAUAAUAUGGAUGCACCAAAGAAAUAAGCACUUUGUGCAUAUAUAAAUAUAGUAGACAUGAAGGAAAAUAUGGAAGUCAACACGAAGAAGGUAGGCUACAAUCUUACGUGAACCAUUAACCUGCAAGGCACUGAAGAUAAACUAAACAUAAUGACUUGACCCCAAUGAUGCUAGCUUAUGGUAGUCAUAGCCUAGCUGAUAGACAAUGAAAGUGAUCAGAAGACCAACAACAAUUUUGAGUCCAGAAGAGGGUAUUUCUUACUAUUAGAAAGGUAUUUCUUAUAAUUACAGAUAACACUAUCAUUUCUAAGUUCCAUGGACCAUAGAAGCUCUGAUAAGCAAUGCUUUUAUUAGAAAGAUGCACUCACAUAUAUUUUUCUAAAAUCCCAAAUGGGUUGAUCCAUUCCAGGUAAAUAUAAAAUUCAUACCCAAAAAACCCAAAACAUAGAUGGGGACAGUCUUUAAGGCAAAGCAAGUAUUUGACUACUUCACACGGAAGCUUUAAACAUUCCACUUUUCUGGAGUAAACAUGGCGAUGGCACACGAUGGCAAGGGAACAAAUUGGAAGUUUAACAGCUCUAUGUGAUUUGAGUACAGUUCAAACAGAACCUAUACAUAGGUAGCCAUAUGGAGUUUUAAAGCAAGAUAGAGGCCACCCCAGGCGGAACUAUGAAUAGUGACAAAGGAACAUCAAAGUGACACUAAAGAGAGAAAAUAGCGAAGAUGUAGGAAGCAUGUGCAAAUAUAAAAAAAUCGAUGGCUUCUGAAACACCGGUCAAGAAGCAUCAAAAUCGGUACUACGAAUAACCUAUAGGGAUUUGUUAGGACCUCCGGUAUAGAACAUUAAUCUAUUAUUUCAAAAACAAGAGGGUAAUAUACUUUAAGAAAAUCAAUAGUGAGACCAUGCGGGCACAGAUUAAAAAAGGGUAAUAUAUUAUGUGGGACAAAAAAUGAAAAACUCAAAGACAAAGUUGCAUAAUUAGCACAAACAAUAUUUGGGUUUAAUCCAAGUAAUGAAGUUAGCGUUAUAGAAAUGCUAGAUUUUUUGCACUUCCCUUCCGGUUGUUAUUAGAUGGGCAUACUCUUAGAUAGAACUAGCCACUACAAUACAGGUUUCCCACAACAUCAACUCAUUUAAGGCCUUUCAAUAAUAUAGCUAUUUUCAUAUUAACCAAAUCACAUCUGAUCUGGAGAUAAUAAACCUUAGUGGAAAUUCCACCAAAAAAUCAUUGGAAUAUAUACUGCGAGUUUUCAGUUAACAUGAUAUUGGUACAAAAAAGAAUGUAUUUAGAGAAACAUAACUAAGCAAGCACACUGCACACAUAUCUUUAGAGCAUCGGACAAAGAAGCUGGAUUGAUGCAUGUACCAAAAGCUAUGUAUCAGCUAGAAACAAAAAGGGUGGAAAUACAUAGUAAUUACAUGAAUAUUAUAACUUUGAUGCAUCCCACUGUCAAACGUACCAUCCUGUCAUAAUUGCCAAUCUAGGAAUACGUCCUGAUCUUUUCGAGGUGCUUCUCUAACCACAUGCCUGUAGACUUGCCUAUCUGACACCUCUUCAAUGUUGACAGGAGUUGUAUUCAUAAUAUCAUCAUCCACAACGUCUUUCCUGAAGGACAAAUUAAGUGCAGUCAUGUUUGGUAUCUGUUAAGAAAAGGUAAAUAUAUCCUACCGCAAGAUACCACCACAUUGCUUUUGUUUUCGUUGCUAUCAUACUCAUGUGACAGCAAUAUAGAACAUCAUCAGAAUGUUUACAGUAUAUAUACUGAAUUAAUAUAUGUAUGGCUCUUUCAAACCAAAGAUCCCUAGGUAGCUGCUUUAUCACAAUAUGCUGAACUGUUAUCUUUUCAAUUCAAGUGUUCAACGGGAAACUUACUACUUAUUGUGGAGUUCCCAUCUCUACUUAGUAGAAAAUAAUUCCCUUGAAAAAGGCGGGGAAUCCAUAAAGCAAAGAGGAAUUCAUUUAUAGAUUCGGAAUUAACCAAUGAACUAAAAAUCAACAGUGGCUGUACAUGAGCACUAAAUUGGCAGCCUGCACACUUGUGUUUCUCUAAAUUUUAUUUCUAUUAUUCUGAAUACAGAAACAACUACGGAUUUAGCUUCGCCUAUAAAAAAGACGAUUCUAGACCCCAUGGAACAAAAGGUAACCAUGGUAAACAGAUUCUGAUGACGUUCUUAGGAAAGAACGACAACAAAAUUAACACUGUCAGCACAAGACAAUUCAUCGAACAUCUUAUAGGCAAGCACAAGGAGAGACAUCAAACCUUCAAUGCGAAAGGGAGAAUGCUCCGAUGACGUACGAAGGAAAGACGGCAACAAAAUUAACCUACAAAUGAAGGGGGCGAAGCCAAGAACUCAAGAUAUUAGACGGCUAUAAGAAACAAAACUGUAAAGAGCAAUGGCAGAAAACGGAUGGGGGCGAACCUCAACCAGCUAUACCCAUCCAUCGGAAAAGCAUCAUUGCAAAAAACCUGAGAAAAGAGCGUAGGCCACUUCCUUCUCUCGGCCAUCCAUGGCUCGGGGCACAAAAUCUGGGAGUGAAUCCCCCGUCCAUCCCCUUCCCCGUUGUUCCCCUACCUCCCUUCCUCCUCUCCACCACUCAUGGCUUUCCACCACCAGUCAUGGGAGACGAGGCCAGGACAGGAGAGAGGAUAAGCAGUAGCGGCGGCCGACGAGGGACGGAGGAUGGAUGCGGUCCCAGACUCGCCACGGCCUUCUGUGCCCGCCCCAACUCGGGAGGUUCGUGCGGCGGUGGCUGGCGAAAGAAGGAGGAGGCAGCGGACCGGGGCUGUGGUGACGAUGGAGGGAAGAGGAAGAGAAAAAGAGUUGAGGCGGCGGUGCUGUGGUUGUGGUGAUCUAGGAAGGAGCAGCAACGGAAAGAUGAAAGGAGG
rnacentral:lncRNA from 1 species